rnacentral:rRNA from 1 species
AGCUUGCUUCCAGGCGUCGAGCGGCGGACGGGUGAGUAAUGCAUAGGAAUCUGCCCGGUAGUGGGGGAUAACCUGGGGAAACCCAGGCUAAUACCGCAUACGUCCUACGGGAGAAAGCAGGGGAUCUUCGGACCUUGCGCUAUCGGAUGAGCCUAUGUCGGAUUAGCUUGUUGGUGAGGUAACGGCUCACCAAGGCCGCGAUCCGUAGCUGGUCUGAGAGGAUGAUCAGCCACAUCGGGACUGAGACACGGCCCGAACUCCUACGGGAGGCAGCAGUGGGGAAUAUUGGACAAUGGGCGAAAGCCUGAUCCAGCCAUGCCGCGUGUGUGAAGAAGGCCCUCGGGUUGUAAAGCACUUUCAGUGAGGAAGAACGCUUGUGGGUUAAUACCCUGCAAGGAAGACAUCACUCACAGAAGAAGCACCGGCUAACUCCGUGCCAGCAGCCGCGGUAAUACGGAGGGUGCGAGCGUUAAUCGGAAUUACUGGGCGUAAAGCGCGCGUAGGCGGCUUGAUAAGCCGGUUGUGAAAGCCCCGGGCUCAACCUGGGAACGGCAUCCGGAACUGUCAGGCUAGAGUGCAGGAGAGGAAGGUAGAAUUCCCGGUGUAGCGGUGAAAUGCGUAGAGAUCGGGAGGAAUACCAGUGGCGAAGGCGGCCUUCUGGACUGACACUGACGCUGAGGUGCGAAAGCGUGGGUAGCAAACAGGAUUAGAUACCCUGGUAGUCCACGCCGUAAACGAUGUCGACUAGCCGUUGGGGUCCUCGAGACCUUUGUGGCGCAGUUAACGCGAUAAGUCGACCGCCUGGGGAGUACGGCCGCAAGGUUAAAACUCAAAUGAAUUGACGGGGGCCCGCACAAGCGGUGGAGCAUGUGGUUUAAUUCGAUGCAACGCGAAGAACCUUACCUACUCUUGACAUCGAGCGAACUUUCCAGAGAUGGAUUGGUGCCUUCGGGAACGCUCAGAGUGGUGCUGCAUGGCCGUCGUCAGCUCGUGUUGUGAAAUGUUGGGUUAAGUCCCGUAACGAGCGCAACCCUUGUCCCUAUUUGCCAGCGAUUCGGUCGGGAACU